CCUACGGGGGGCAGCAGUGGGGAAUAUUGCACAAUGGGGGAAACCCUGCUGCAGCAACGCCGCGUGAGCGAUGAAGGCCUUCGGGGCGUAAAGCUCGGUCUUAAGGGAAGAAUAUUGACGGUACCUUAGGAGGAAGCCCCGGCUAACUACGUGCCAGGAGCAGCGGUAAUACGUAGGGGGCUGGCGUGAUCCGGAAUUACUGGGCGUAAAGGAUGCGUAGUCGGCCCACCAAGUCAGAGGGGAGAGGCUACGGAUCAACCGUAGUAAGCCUUUGAAACUGUAGGGCAUGAGUGCAGGAGAGGAGGGUGGAAUACCCAGUGUAGCGGUGAAAUGCGUAGAUAUUGGGAGGAACACCAGUUGCGAGGGAGGCUAUCUGGCCUGUAACUGCCGCUGAGGCACGAAGGCGUGGGGAGCGAACAGGAUUAGAUACCCCUGUAGUC
rnacentral:rRNA from 1 species